rnacentral:snoRNA from 1 species
GCCAUGUGACCAGAGCGUGAUUAACAGUCAUCCAUGGCUCCUCAAGUUGUGGUUGGUUGCAGUAGAUGAUCGUUCUUAGACCUGAUCUCAAGCCUAAGAUGGUCUCAUGGCUGUCUGA